rnacentral:rRNA from 1 species
UACGUAGGUGGCUAGCGUUGUCCGGAUUUACUGGGCGUAAAGAGCGCGCAGGCGGCUGGUCAAGUCCGAUGUGAAAGCUCCCGGCUUAACUGGGGAAUUGCAUCGGAAACUGAUCGGCUGGAAGGUGGGAGAGGGAAGCGGAAUUCCCGGUGUAGUGGUGAAAUGCGUAGAGAUGGGGAGGAACACCAGUGGCGAAAGCGGCUACCUGGCCCAUUCUUGACGCUGAGGCGCGAAAGCGAGGGGAGCAAACGGG